rnacentral:lncRNA from 1 species
AUGGCCCCAGAAACAGCCAGCCGGAUACAGCAACUAACUCAGAUUCGUUUGUUUGUUUCUUGGUUGGUUUUUUGGGGGGUUUUUUUUGGCAGCAUGUGGGAGUUCCUGGGCCAGGGACCGACCCCGCGCCACCGUAGCAACCCAAGCCGCUGUAGUGACCGUGCCAGAUCUUUAACCCACUGCACCACAGGAGAGCUCCCUAACUCGGAUAGUUCUAAUGCUUUCCGGUUGGAUCUCUUGAGGCCCAGCCGCCCUUUGGUAAGACAUGCACUUUUAAGAGGUAGCCCUGCCUCCUUCCCACACACGUGCCUCUUUUUCCCCCCCUUUCUUUUCAGGGCCGCACCCACAGCCUAUGAAACUUCCUGGGCUAGGGGUCUAAUCAGAGCUACAGGUGCCAGCCUACACCACAGCCACAGCCGCAGCAACGCCGGAUCCAAGCCACAUCUGCCCCCACAGCACAGCUUGUGGCAACGCCGGGUCCUUAACCCACUGAGCGACGCUAGGGAUCAAACCUGCGUCCUCAUGGAUGAUAGCUGGGUUCUUAACCCACUGGGCCACAGCAGGAACUCCCACAUUUGGCUCUUAAAGUACCCCUGGGUGGGUUGCUCUUUCUUCCAAGCCAAGGAGCCUUGACUGAACAGGGUCGCAAAGGUUCAUCCCUGGGAAGCUGCGUGAAUAACGUGCAGAGAAGGAGGUAGGAGUCCUUCUCUGACAAAGUCCGCCGGACACUGCGUGUCGGCUGUUGGUGUGGAACCCGCUGGGCAGCUCCAGCCUGGCCGAGAUAACCCGCGCGACAGAAAGAGCGAGAGGCAGAGGGGCUGGAGCCCGGCUGUGAAUGUGCCCCCCUGCAGAUGUGUUUGAUCUCUCAGGGUUUACGGAAGGCCCACCACGCACCAGGCUGCAAACAGACAGAUGAGGCCCCUGCUCUCGGGGAACUCGUGUUCGGGUGGGGUAAGAUCGAGGUGAGGUUUUCAGAGAGAGGCAGUUCCUGGUGGCUCGGGAGGUUACUGCACUGUCACUGCAGCAGCCAGGUCACUGCUGUGGCGCAGCUUUGAUCCCUGACCUGGGAGCUUCUGCAUGCCUUGGGCGUGGCCAAAAAAGAAAAAAAAGAGGGAGAGGGCUAGAAUUUCAGAUAAAGAAUAGAAACCUGGGGAGUUCCUGGUGGUGCAGUGGGUUAAUGAUCCAGCUUUGUCUCUGUAGAGGCACCAGUUCGAUCCCCGGCCCACCACAGUGGGUUAAGGAUCCAGUGUUUUUGCUACGGCUGUUGCAGCAGCUGUGGCACAGGUCACUGUUCCAGCUCAGAUUUUCUUUUCUUUUUUUGCCUUUUCUAGGGCCGCUCCCGUGGCAUCUGGAGGUUCCCAGGCUAGGGGUCGAAUCGGAGCUGUAGCCACUGGCCUACGCCAGAGCCAUAGCAACGCGGGAUCCAAGCCGCAUCUGAAACCUACACCACAGCUCACAGCAACUCCAGAUCCUUAACCCACGGAGCCAGGCCAGAUGGAACCCUCAUCCUUGUGGACACGAGUCGGAUUCAUUUCGCUGCGCCACAACAGGAACUCCCAGACCCACGUCUUGCUGGAACACGGUCAAGGUCACAUUGUAGGAUGAGCUGUCCAAAGGCGGAUCCAUCCCCACC